UGCGUAGGUGGCCAUGUAAGCGCGGGGUGAAAGGCAAUAGCUUAACUAUUGUAAGCCUUGCGAACUGUGUGGCUUGAGUGCAGGAGAGGAAAGUGGAAUUCCUAGUGUAGCGGUGAAAUGCGUAGAUAUUAGGAGGAACACCAGUGGCGAAGGCGACUUUCUGGACUGUAACUGACACUGGGGCGCGAAAGCGUGGGGAGCAAACA
rnacentral:rRNA from 1 species